UACGGAGGAUGCAAGCGUUAGUCCGGAAUGAUUGGGCGUAAAGCGUUUUAAGGUGGUUUGGAUAAGUCUACUGUUAAAUUAUCAGGGCUUAACCCUGAACAGGCCAGUGGAAACUAGCAAGCUGGAGUACGGUAGGGGCAGAGGGAAUUCCCGGAUGUAGCGGGUGAAAUGGCGUAGAUAUCGGGAGGAACACCAGAGGCGAAAGGCGGCGACCUGGACAGGUACUGACACUCAACGUACGAAAGCGCUGGGGA
rnacentral:rRNA from 1 species